GAUGAACGCUGGCGGCGUGCUUAACACAUGCAAGUCGAACGGUGAAGCAGGAGCUUGCUCUUGUGGAUCAGUGGCGAACGGGUGAGUAACACGUGAGCAACCUGCCCCUGACUCUGGAAUAAGCGCUGGAAACGGCGUCUAAUACUGAAUAUGUGAUGUGACCGCAUGGUCUGCAUCUGGAAAGAAUUUCGGUUGGGGAUGGGCUCGCGGCCUAUCAGCUUGUUGGUGAGGUAAUGGCUCACCAAGGCGUCGACGGGUAGCCGGCCUGAGAGGGUGACCGGCCACACUGGGACUGAGACACGGCCCAGACUCCUACGGGAGGCAGCAGUGGGGAAUAUUGCACAAUGGGCGGAAGCCUGAUGCAGCAACGCCGCGUGAGGGAUGACGGCCUUCGGGUUGUAAACCUCUUUUAGCAGGGAAGAAGCGAAAGUGACGGUACCUGCAGAAAAAGCACCGGCUAACUACGUGCCAGCAGCCGCAGUAA
rnacentral:rRNA from 1 species